UUAAAAUUGCAGUUGAUACUGGCGUCCUGNAGUGCGGUUGAGGUGUGCGGAAUUCGUGGUGUAGCGGUGAAAUGCUUAGAUAUCACGAAGAACUCCGAUUGCGAAGGCAGCACACUAAGCCGUAACUGACGUUCAUGCUCGAAAGUGUGGGUAUCAAACAGGAUUAGAUACCCUGGUAGUCCACACGGUAAACGAUGGAUACUCGCUGUUGGCGAUAUACUGUCAGCGGCUUAGCGAAAGCGUUAAGUAUCCCACCUGGGGAGUACGCCGGCAACGGUGAAACUCAAAGGAAUUGACGGGGGCCCGCACAAGCGGAGGAACAUGUGGUUUAAUUCGAUGAUACGCGAGGAACCUUACCCGGGCUUAAAUUGCAAAGGAAUGAUUUGGAAACAGGUCAGUCUUCGGACCUUUGUGAAGGUGCUGCAUGGUUGUCGUCAGCUCGUGCCGUGAGGUGUCGGCUUAAGUGCCAUAACGAGCGCAACCCUCGCCGCCAGUUACUAACAGUUAAAGCUGAGGACUCUGGCGGGACUGCCAUCGUAAGAUGUGAGGAAGGUGGGGAUGACGUCAAAUCAGCACGGCCCUUACGUCCGGGGCUACACACGUGUUACAAUGGGCGGUACAGAAGGCAGCUACCUGGCGACAGGAUGCCAAUCCCUAAAGCCGCUCUCAGUUCGGACUGGAGUCUGCAACCCGACUCCACGAAGCUGGAUUCGCUAGUAAUCGCGCAUCAGCCACGGCGCGGUGAAUACGUUCCCGGGCCUUGUACACACCGCCCGUCAAGCCAUGAAAGCCGGGGGUACCUGAAGUGCGUAACCGCAAGGAGCGCCCUAGGGUAAAACCGGUAAUUGGGGCUAAGUCGUAACAAGGUAACCA
rnacentral:rRNA from 1 species